rnacentral:rRNA from 1 species
GAUGAGCGCUGGCGGCGUGCCUAAUACAUGCAAGUCGAGCGAACAGAUGAGGAGCUUGCUCCUCUGACGUUAGCGGCGGACGGGUGAGUAACACGUGGAUAACCUACCUAUAAGACUGGGAUAACUUCGGGAAACCGGAGCUAAUACCGGAUAAUAUAUUGAACCGCAUGGUUCAAUAGUGAAAGACGGUUUUGCUGUCACUUAUAGAUGGAUCCGCGCCGCAUUAGCUAGUUGGUAAGGUAACGGCUUACCAAGGCAACGAUGCGUAGCCGACCUGAGAGGGUGAUCGGCCACACUGGAACUGAGACACGGUCCAGACUCCUACGGGAGGCAGCAGUAGGGAAUCUUCCGCAAUGGGCGAAAGCCUGACGGAGCAACGCCGCGUGAGUGGUGAAGGUCUUCGGAUCGUAAAACUCUGUUAUUAGGGAAGAACAAAUGUGUAAGUAACUAUGCACGUCUUGACGGUACCUAAUCAGAAAGCCACGGCUAACUACGUG